rnacentral:rRNA from 1 species
GACGAACGCUGGCGGCGUGCUUAACACAUGCAAGUCGAACGGUGAACUCCGCUUGCGGGUGGAUCAGUGGCGAACGGGUGAGUAACACGUGGGCAACCUGCCCUCAGCUCUGGGAUAACUCCAAGAAAUUGGGGCUAAUACCGGAUAUGACCGCUGACCGCAUGGUCUGGUGUUGGAAAGAUUUAUCGGCUGUGGAUUGGCCCGCGGCCUAUCCGCUUGUUGGUGGGGUAGUGGCAUACCAAAGCGCCGACGGGUAGCCGGCCUGAGAGGGUGACCGGCCACAAGGGGACUGAGAGACGGACCAGACUCAUACGGGAGGCAGUGGUGGGGAAUAUUGCGGAACGGGCGAAAGCCUGAGGCAGCGACGCCGGGUGGGGGAUGACGGCUUUCGGGUUGUAAACAUAUUUCAGAAGAGACAAAGAGAAAGUGACGGUACCUGAAGAAGAAGCACCGGCCAACUACGUG